UACGGAGGGUGCAAGCGUUGUCCGGAAUCACUGGGCGUAAAGGGCGCGUAGGCGGCUCGGUAAGUAGGGGGUGAAAUCCUGCGGCUUAACCGGCAGGGCUGCCUUCUAAACUGUCGAGCUUGAGCACGGUAGAGGCAGAUGGAAUUCCCGGUGUAGCGGUGGAAUGCGUAGAGAUCGGGAGGAACACCAGAAGCGAAGGCGGCAAACUGGAUAGAAACUGACACUGAACAACGAAAGCGUGGGUAGCAAACAGG
rnacentral:rRNA from 1 species